rnacentral:lncRNA from 1 species
AUCAUGAAGAAUCUACUAUAUCUAACUAGGAGCCCCCGAGUACCUUAUUUCUCUUGGCAUGCAGGCUAUCCACAACACAAUUCAUAUGCAGCCUUCCACCUCAGCAAUUCUGCCAUGUCAACAAGUUCUUAUUUUCCUUUUUAACGAAAUGAAUCAUGUGAUUUUAGUCUCUCUAGUUGGUUUCUCUUCGUCUUCCGAAACUGAUGAGGCAGCCUAUUAAUAAGAGCCAAGACGCAUAGUCUUCACCUUCACUGCCUUCCAGGAUCCAGCCAUAUGCGUCUCAAAACAAUGAACUAAUAUCAUCUAUAUUCCAGAGUGGAAGACGCGUGCAGGUAAAUCAUUCACGACAGUCGUCAGGUCGUACCCAUUAAGCUAUACCGGCAUCCGACGUGCCGUCGUUCCGGUCCUCUAUCUGCUCCCAUUGGUGAAGGCCAUGAGCUCUACGAUCAACCUGCUGCACUUGGUCCGUACGACGACGCCGAGACGGUGGCUCCCAUUAUUUGAGUUUGAUUUCGUGGGAGGCAUUGGGCAGCCUUGGACGUCCAUGGAGGAGUGGCACCUGGCAUGGAAAAUCAGAGAUCAGGGAGGCAACAUCUAGGUAAUUGAGGCCCACACAGGAUCCUGUGUUUACUCUGCACAUCUCAUCUUCCAUCCAAUCGAAAUCUUGAAUGCCCCGUGGAAGAUGGAAAGCAGUUACGAGCUUGUGCUGCCCCAAAGCCGUCUCCUAGGUAUGCCAGCUGUCGCCUCUGGCUUCUCCAAUGGUCCGGCUUUUGGUGCGGAAGCAGGACUAGCCGAGCCCAUGUCAAAUCUACACAAUACAUCAUUUCAUUUCAUUCUAACAUAUCCUAUAUACACUGUCAACACCAAUGUGGGUCUUUUUUCUAUCUGUUUAUUUUUGCUAUAAAAGAAGUACUCUGUGGUUUUCGGAGUUCUAACCAUGGAAGGAAUUUGAUUAUAACAUAUCGUAUAUACACACUGUCAAGUGUCAACACAAAUCAGGGGCAUUUUCUCUAUUUGUGCUACUAUUAAAGAAGUACUCUGAUUUUGUAGUUCUAACUCUGCAAGGGAUUUCAAAGCAUUUUUGUGUAGUACUUGGACAUGGAUAGUUCAAUUUAGUUAUAUGAUUCACAACUACGUGCCCAUUCUCAAAUCAUGAUGGCCUCUAAUUUGGUGAGAUAUCUCUGUGACGUCACACCUUGCAGCCUUGGUGUUUGAUUUUUUUUCUGCCAACAAAUCAUUGAUUUUGUGAGAUUGAACUCUCAUACUCCAAUCGUAUUUGAAGAAUUGGCAGCAAUGACAGGUGAAUUGGUGGCGGUCUCGAAAUCAAACCAGUGAGGAACCUCUGUAUUCUACCUCACUCUAUCUUAAGAAUUCUGGUUUGAGCUUGCAUGUAUCCUGGCUUAUUAGUUGUUCAGUCCAGUUGUCAUGCUGGAGUGUUAUUUUGGAUAUUCUCCUUAUGGUUGUAUUUUCUUUGGGGACUAAACAUUAGCAACCACAGUUUAU